UACAGAGACUGCAAGCGUUAUUCGGAUUCACUGGGCGUAAAGGGUGCGCAGGCGGCCGUGUGUGUGAGGCGUGAAAGCCCGAUGCUUAACAUCGGAAUUGCACCUCAAACUACAUGGCUAGAGCAUUGGAGAGGGUAGCGGAAUUCACGGUGUAGCAGUGAAAUGCGUAGAUAUCGUGAGGAACACCAGAGGCGAAGGCGGCUACCUGGACAAUUGCUGA
rnacentral:rRNA from 1 species